AUCGCUAAUGCUGCUUCCGUGAGAGUUGAAAACGAGAGAAAAAGGUCAGGUCUUAUUUGAUGCCUGGAAAAUGUGAAGCUCCAGUCCUGGUGUCCAACGGGGUUGACCAGUGAUCCAGUUGAUGGUGAACCUCCCAGUGGAACUUUGAGCCUCCACCACACCAUCCAGUGGAUUCUAUCUUCCCUGCAGUGAAAACAGAAUUCAGUCUGGUGGAAUCUGAAUAAAUACAGAUCCAGAUGCUCGCGACCCUCCAAAGAGGAUUCCUGAUGAGUUUGGUGAACUUUAUAGAGUUGAUGGUUGGAUUAAAGCCUCCGCCUGUCCAUUAGAGCUCCUCUGCUGCGUUUAAAGGCCUUCAGG
ensembl:lncRNA